rfam:Chelonia mydas contig183179, whole genome shotgun sequence.
GGCUCUGUGGCACAAUGGAUAGUGCAUUGGACUUCUAGAUUGAUGACAGAUGGAGUCAUUCAAAGGUUGUGGGUUCAAGUCCCACCAGAGCUG